UACGAAGGGGGCUAGCGUUGCUCGGAAUCACUGGGCGUAAAGGGUGCGUAGGCGGGUCUUUAAGUCAGGGGUGAAAUCCUGGAGCUCAACUCCAGAACUGCCUUUGAUACUGAGGAUCUUGAGUUCGGGAGAGGUGAGUGGAACUGCGAGUGUAGGAGGUGAAAAUUCGUAGAUAUUCGCAAGAACACCAGUGGCGAAGGCGGCUCACUGGCCCGAUACUGACGCUGAGGCACGAAAGCGUGGGGAGCAAACAGGG
rnacentral:rRNA from 1 species